rnacentral:rRNA from 1 species
AACGAACGCUGGCGGCAUGCCUAACACAUGCAAGUCGAACGAGACCUCCGUGUCUGGUUGCGCACGGGUGCGUAACGCGGCGGAACCUGCACUUAGGCUCGGAAUAACUCCUCGACAGGGGUGCUAAUGCCGGAUAAUUUCCUCGGACACAGGAUUCAUCGUCCUUGGAUGGGCGCGCGUUGGUUUAGCCUGUUGGUAGUGUAAAAGCCUAUCACGGCGUCGCUCCUUAGCUGGGCUGAGAGGCAGGUCAGCCACACUGGGACGAGGAUGCGGCCCAGAAUCCUACGGGAGGCAGCAGUGGGGAAUAUAGGAAUAUGGGCGAAAGCCUGAUCCAGCUAGGCCGCGUGAGUGAUGAAGGCCUUAGGGAUGUAAAGCUCUUUUACCCGGGAUGAUAAUGACAGUACCGGGAGAAUAAGCUCCGGCUAACUCCGUG